GAUGUAUGUAUACUUAUAGCUGAUUCAUGUUGUUGUAUAGCAGAAACAACACUGUAAAGUAAUCCUCUAAUUAAAAAUAAAUCUAAAAAGAACUAGUCUGGAACUCAGUGAGAUGGAUCAGAUACCCAGUUCAUUAUUUGCUGGGCAUCAGCGAUGCAAUGGACAUGAUUUUAAGCAGGGUCCAGGAGUUGGUGAUGGACAGGGAAGCCUGGAGUGCUGCAGUCCAUGGAGUCACAAAGAGUCAGACACAGCUGAGCGACUGAACUGAACUUGAUUAUCCUGGAGCUAAGGUCCAAUAUCUUACCAUUGUGUUAAAAAGCCUUGUUGUUCUGGGCCAAAAGAAAACUGCAAGGAAAAAUCUUCCACCCAUGCGAUCUGUGUGGAAAGCAAUACUGCCACUGAGGAAAUCUGUAGAGGUUUAUGCCAGCUGCUCUGUAGAUAAACCUCAGACUUGUAAAUACUGCAUCACAUGCUGACGGAUGAUGUCAGCCGAAGGAUGUUUGCUUCUGGCUUCAUUGUACUUCUUCUCAAAAGAGUUAUUAAAUGUUUCCUAUCCUUUCUCUAAACACAACUCCAUGACAAUACUUUGAAGAGUCCUGAAGACAAACAGUCUUUCCUACUAAAAUUUGCCAUUGUUUCUCCUUUAUUCCAGGUUAUUAUAUUGAACUGCCAGCUGCCAGCUGUGCAAACCAGAAGAGACAGCUUAUGUUUUCUUUGCUAUUCUCCUUUUAUGGGUUCAGCAGAAAACUAGAGAAAAGUCCCUUUUAUUGAAAUUCCCAUUUAAACUUCAGGUCAAGGGUAAAUAAAGAAACAAAUACAAAAUCACACUCAUCUCACUCUUAAAGGAACUUCUCCUUCUGAGGACAUCUUUUACAAGAGACUUCCAGGUUCAUUUAAAUGAUAUCUCAGUUUAGUUCAGUCUCUCAGUCACAGUCAGACAUGGCUCAGUGACUGAACUGAACUGAGGUUGUUCACAACUUUUGUUCCAAGAAGCAAGCAUCUUUUAAUUUCAUGACUGCAGUCACCAUCUGCAGUGAUUUUGGAGCCCAAGAAAA
ensembl:lncRNA